rnacentral:rRNA from 1 species
GACGAACGCUGGCGGCGUGCUUAACACAUGCAAGUCGAACGGAAAGGCCCUGCUUACAGGGUACUCGAGUGGCGAACGGGUGAGUAACACGUGGGUGAUCUGCCCUGCACUUCGGGAUAAGCCUGGGAAACUGGGUCUAAUACCGGAUAGGAGCCAUUUUUAGUGUGAUGGUUGGAAAGUUUUUUUCGGUGUAGGAUGAGCUCGCGGCCUAUCAGCUUGUUGGUGGGGUAAUGGCCUACCAAGGCGGCGACGGGUAGCCGGCCUGAGAGGGUGGACGGCCACAUUGGGACUGAGAUACGGCCCAGACUCCUACGGGAGGCAGCAGUGGGGAAUAUUGCACAAUGGGCGCAAGCCUGAUGCAGCGACGCCGCGUGGGGGAUGACGGCCUUCGGGUUGUAAACUCCUUUCGCUAGGGACGAAGCUUUUUGUGACGGUACCUAGAUAAGAAGCACCGGCUAACUACGUG